rnacentral:ncRNA from 1 species
AUUCUGAGUUUGUGAUCGGACUUCAAGCAUAGACACAUUUGUCAUCACAAAGGAGCAAAAAUGUUAACUACCGAAGCGAAAGCAAAGAUCGUAGCCGAUUUCGGCCGC